CUCAGUUCUACUGAAUAGUCUUAACUUUGUAUUUUGCCACAUGCUCUUCUAUUAGAAGGGUAGGUGAAUGGAUGGCCCGCCUGCGCAGAUUUGCCACACGGGGGUCUGGCCUUCUGAUGCAGGAAAGAGACCAGCACCACGCCAGAAGAAAUGGCAUGACUUGUACCAGAAGAAUUGAGAAGUGUCCACUGCAACAAAGGGGGCAAAUGUCUGUGUCCAUCCGCUACGACCACCUACUGUACGCCUCCGUCCUUCCUCUCCCGAUCACCCUCACUGUCUGUCUCUGUCGCUGUAGCCACUGCUCCCCAGCAGUGCAACCUCUCGCUGAGCAACCGGCUGUGGAUGUGCGCAGUGUACCAGCGAGUGGACAACCUGACAGGCUUGGUGGGGCUUUAGGGUGGGCAAGAACAUAU